rnacentral:rRNA from 1 species
GACGAACGCUGGCGGCGUGCUUAACACAUGCAAGUCGAGCGGAAAGGCCCUUCGGGGUACUCGAGCGGCGAACGGGUGAGUAACACGUGAGUAAUCUGCCCUUCACUCUGGGAUAGCCACCGGAAACGGUGAUUAAUACCGGAUACGACCACUCCCGGCAUCGGGUGGUGGUGGAAACUUUUUUGGGUGGGGGAUGUGCUCGCGGCCUAUCAGCUUGUUGGUGGGGUAAUGGCCUACCAAGGCUUCGACGGGUAGCCGGCCUGAGAGGGUGACCGGCCACACUGGGACUGAGACACGGCCCAGACUCCUACGGGAGGCAGCAGUGGGGAAUAUUGGACAAUGGGCGGAAGCCUGAUCCAGCAACGCCGCGUGAGGGAUGACGGCCUUCGGGUUGUAAACCUCUUUCAGCACCGACGAAGCGCAAGUGACGGUAGGUGCAGAAGAAGGACCGGCCAACUACGUGCCAGCCGCCGCCGUAACAC